rnacentral:rRNA from 1 species
GGCCUUCGGGUUGUAAAGCUCUUUUGUCAGGGAAGAAACACCGGCUCUAACACAGUCCGGGAAUGACGGUACCUGAAGAAUAAGCACCGGCUAACUACGUGCCAGCAGCCGCGGUAAUACGUAGGGUGCGAGCGUUAAUCGGAAUUACUGGGCGUAAAGCGUGCGCAGGCGGUUAUACAAGACAGGCGUGAAAUCCCCGGGCUUAACCUGGGAAUGGCGCCUGUGACUGUAUAGCUAGAGUGUGUCAGAGGGGGGUAGAAUUCCACGUGUAGCAGUGAAAUGCGUAGAUAUGUGGAGGAAUACCAAUGGCGAAGGCAGCCCCCUGGGAUAACGCUGACGCUCAUGCACGAAAGCGUGGGGAGCAAACAGGAUUAGAUACCCUGGUAGUCCACGCCCUAAACGAUGCUGACUAGUUGUUCGGGAUUUACAUCCUGAGUAACGUAGCUAACGCGUGAAGUCAGC